GACGGGGGGUCCUAGCGUUGUUCGGAAUCAUUGGGCGUAAAGCGUGUGCAGGUGGUUUGGAAAGUUGGAUGUGAAAGCCUUGGGCUUAACCCAAGAAGUGCAUUCAAAACUGCCAAACUUGAGUAUGGAAGAGGGUCGUGGAAUUCCGCAUGUAGUGGUGAAAUACGUAGAUAUGCGGAGGAACACCGGCGGCGAAGGCGGCGACCUGGUCCUAUACUGACACUCAUACACGAAAGCGUGGGGAUCAAACAGG
rnacentral:rRNA from 1 species